CUUAAAGUUAGAGACUUAAAUUUGGUAUCAGCUACAUCUUAAUUAAAAAUGUUCUUACUUAACAACAGAGGAACCAACAACAAGGUGCAGCAAGGCCAACAUUUCAACCUACAGAAAGAAAAGACAGAGAAUUAAGCCUCCCCGAAAAUGAUAUGGCCGAAGAAAUACGCAAUUUGCGAGAAAAUCGGAUGAGAAAAGGACCAAAAGAUGGUGUAAAGAUUAAAGUUUACACGCCCAGUGGUUUGUUCAAAAGAACGUUUCACAGAGGAGGUUGCUAUCAAGAGGUGUAUGACUGGCUUGGGAGUAGCCAGAUGCAGCCAUUGUUCUUUUUCCUGGAGACACA